UCGUGCUAGAUGGAGGGCUCGGGGUCCUCUAAAAACCGCAAAUCCCCGUGAUGGCGGGUUGAAUUCCCACCAGCGGGCCUAGGUUGGUGAAACCGGCAGGUUUUCAAAGUUAUGAAAGACGGGUCCCGUACGGCGAAAGUCCGUGAACCCCGCCAGGAUCGGAAGGUAGCAACGGUAAACGUUCGCUUUCGGGUGAUGCGGGAGUGCCUGUCCGGAGCAGAGAAUGCUUGAGAUGGGUUAUUGACCAAGGUUCAAAGGUGGGUGCACGA
rnacentral:SRP_RNA from 1 species